rnacentral:rRNA from 1 species
AACGAACGCUGGCGGCAGGCUUAACACAUGCAAGUCGAACGGGCACCUUCGGGUGUCAGUGGCAGACGGGUGAGUAACGCGUGGGAACGUACCCUUCGGUUCGGAAUAACCCAGGGAAACUUGGGCUAAUACCGGAUACGUCCGUAAGGAGAAAGAUUUAUUGCCGAAGGAUCGGCCCGCGUCGGAUUAGCUAGUUGGUGGGGUAAUGGCCCACCAAGGCGACGAUCCGUAGCUGGUCUGAGAGGAUGAUCAGCCACACUGGGACUGAGACACGGCCCAGACUCCUACGGGAGGCAGCAGUGGGGAAUAUUGGACAAUGGGCGCAAGCCUGAUCCAGCCAUGCCGCGUGAGUGAUGAAGGCCUUCGGUUGUUAAG